CCACACUGGGACUGAGACACUGCCCAGACUCCUACGGGAGGCUGCAGUCGAGGAUCAUUUGCAAUGCGCGAAAGCGUGACAGUGCGACGCUGCGUGGAGGAUGAAGGCCUUCGGGCUGUAAACUCCUGUCAAUCGGGAACAAAGCUGUCGGGUGAAUAGCCCGGCGGUUUGAUGGUACCGGAAGAGGAAGCCACGGCUAACUCUGUGCCAGCAGCCGCGGUAAUACAGAGGUGGCGAGCGUUGUUCGGAUUUACUGGGCGUAAAGGGCGCGUAGGCGGCCGGUCGUGUCGGGUGUGAAAUCCAUGGGCCCAACCCAUGAAGUGCGCCCGAAACUGCCCGGCUCGAGUGCGGGAGGGGAGAUCGGAAUGCAUGGUGUAGCGGUGAAAUGCGUUGAUAUCAUGCAGAACACCGGUGGCGAAGGCGGAUCUCUGGAACGCUACUGACGCUGAGGCGCGAAAGCAGGGGGAGCAAACAGGAUUAGAUACCCUGGUAGUCCCUGCCCUAAACGGUGCGCGCUUGGGGUGGGGGGAUUUCACCCCCCCCGUCCCGGAGCUAACGCGUUAAGCGCGCCGCCUGGGGAGUACGGCCGCAAGGCUAAAACUCAAAGAAAUUGACGGGGGCCCGCACAAGCAGAGGAGCAUGUGGCUUAAUUCGAUGCAACGCGAAGAACCUUACCCGGGUUUGACAUGCAGCUGCGCGUCCCGUGAAAGCGGGAUUCCUUCGAGGGUGCUGCACAGGUGCUGCAUGGCUGUCGUCAGUUCGUGCCGUGAGGUGUUUGGUUAAGUCCAGCAACGAACGCAACCCCUGUGUCCAGUUGCCAACAGGUAGAGCUGGGAACUCUGGACAGACCGCCCGUUCACGCGGGAGGAAGGUGGGGAUGACGUCAAGUCAGUAUGGCCCUUACAUCCGGGGCUGCACACGUGCUACAAUGGCCGGCACAGAGGGACGCGAGGCCGCGAGGCGGAGCCAACCCCCAAAACCGGCCCCAGUUCAGAUCGGGGUCUGCAACCCGACCCCGUGAAGUCGGAUUUGCUAGUAACGGCGCAUCAGCUACGGCGCCGUGAAUACGUUCCCGGGCCUUGUACACACCGCCCG
rnacentral:rRNA from 1 species